GGAGGACACAGAUUAGGAACACAGAAACAAAUGAGUCACCACCAUGACAACACCCUCUACUGGAAAGGUAUGAGUCAUCCCAGCUGAGGACAUCCUAAACCAGCCAGCCCCCAGCCAACCUACCCGCUGACCACAGAUGCAUGAGUAAGACAGCUGUACCUAGCCCACAUCAGUAGAACUAGACAACUUGUCUCUAGACAACUAGACAACUAGACUCAAGUAAGAUGGUUGUUGCUUUGAGCCACCAAGUUCUGGGUUAGUUUGUUACACAGCAGUAACUAACAUAUGUAUACUUAACGGGUGUACAAUUUAUGACUCCAAACCAGGUGUUUUAAUGAAUCACCUGCAGAAAUGACCCAGGC
rnacentral:lncRNA from 1 species